rnacentral:rRNA from 1 species
CAUCACUACGCUAGAUGCAUAUCAAUAAGCGGAGGAAAAGAAACUAACAAGGAUUCCCCUAGUAACGGCGAGUGAAGCGGGAAGAGCUCAAAUUUGAAAUCUUAAAAGGUUUUCCUUUUACGAAUUGUAGUUUAAAGAAGUGUUUUCUGUUGAAGUUUUGGUACAAGUUCUUUGGAAUAGGACAUCAUAGAGGGUGAGAAUCCCGUAUUUGACCUUAAUUUUUCAACUUUGUGAUACACUUUCAAAGAGUCGGAUUGUUUGGGAAUGCAGUCCAAAAUGGGUGGUAAAUUUCAUCUAAGGCUAAAUAUUGGCGAGAGACCGAUAGCGAACAAGUACCGUGAGGGAAAGAUGAAAAGAACUUUGAAAAGAGAGCUAAAUAGUACGUGAAAUUGUCAAAAGGGAAGCGUUUGGCACCAGUGUUGUUUUUCUAAAAAUCAAUUUAAAAUUUGCUUAUGUUAAGUGUUUUAGACUUAAUCGGCUAUACAUUUAAUUCUUUGUAAAUUUUGAAUGCACUUUUUAGUUAACAAGUCAACAGUCAAUUUUUUUUGCUGUAAAAAAGUAAGAGGAAGGUGGCUUGGGACUCGUUUCAAGUGUUUAUAGCCUCUUGCCCAUGCAGUAGGAGAGAUUGAGGUCUGCAGCAUAGAUCCUUCGGGGCUAGAUGCUUUUGUGCUAGAAGCUAGUAUUAUAUAGACAACUUGUUGAUUAUGUAAUAUAUUAGUUUCUACUCGCUAAAGUUAUUUUACCUACGCUUAGGAUGUUGACUGAUAUGUAGUCGUA